GUUGAACGCUGGCGGCAGGCCUAACACAUGCAAGUCGAGCGGCUGCAGGGAGCUUGCUCCUGGAUUCAGCGGCGGACGGGUGCGUAAUGCCUAGGAAUCUGCCUGGUCGUGGGGGAUAACGUCCGGUAACGGGCGCUAAUACCGCAUACGUCCUGAGGGAGAAAGUGGGGGAUCUUCGGACCUCACGCUAUCAGAUGAGCCUAGGUCGGAUUAGCUAGUUGGUGGGGUAAAGGCCUACCAAGGCGACGAUCCGUAACUGGUCUGAGAGGAUGAUCAGUCACACUGGAACUGAGACACGGUCCAGACUCCUACGGGAGGCAGCAGUGGGGAAUAUUGGACAAUGGGCGAAAGCCUGAUCCAGCCAUGCCGCGUGUGUGAAGAAGGUCUUCGGAUUGUAAAGCACUUUAAGUUGGGAGGAAGGGCAGUAAGUUAAUACCUUGCUGUUUUGACGUUACCAACAGAAUAAGCACCGGCUAACUUCGUG
rnacentral:rRNA from 1 species